UACGGGGGGGGCAAGCGUUGUUCGGAAUUACUGGGCGUAAAGGGCGCGUAGGCGGCCUUCUAAGUCGGACGUGAAAUCCCUCGGCUUAACCGAGGAACUGCGUCCGAGACUGAAAGGCUUGAAUCCGGGGAGAGGGAUGUGGAAUUCCAGGUGUAGCGGUGAAAUGCGUAGAUAUCUGGAGGAACACCGGUGGCGAAGGCGGCAUCCUGGACCGGCAUUGACGCUGAGGCGCGAAAGCUAGGGGAGCAAACGGG
rnacentral:rRNA from 1 species